rnacentral:rRNA from 1 species
AAACGAUGUCAACUAGCUGUUGGGCCUUCGGGCCUUGGUAGCGCAGCUAACGCGUGAAGUUGACCGCCUGGGGAGUACGGUCGCAAGAUUAAAACUCAAAGGAAUUGACGGGGACCCGCACAAGCGGUGGAUGAUGUGGAUUAAUUCGAUGCAACGCGAAAAACCUUACCUACCCUUGACAUGUCUGGAAUGCCGAAGAGAUUUGGCAGUGUCGCAAGAAACCGGAACACAGGUGCUGCAUGGCUGUCGUCAGCUCGUGUCGUGAGAUGUUGGGUUAAGUCCCGCAACGAGCGCAACCCUUGUCAUUAGUUGCUACGAAAGGGCACUCUAAUGAGACUGCCGGUGACAAACCGGAGGAAGGUGGGGAUGACGUCAAGUCCUCAUGGCCCUUAUGGGUAGGGCUUCACACGUCAUACAAUGGUCGGGACAGAGGGUCGCCAACCCGCGAGGGGGAGCCAAUCCCAGAAACCCGAUCGUAGUCCGGAUCGCAGUCUGCAACUCGACUGCGUGAAGUCGGAAUCGCUAGUAAUCGCGGAUCAGCAUGUCGCGGUGAAUACGUUCCCGGGUCUUGUACACACCGCCCGUCACACCAUGGGAGUGGGUUUUACCAGAAGUAGUUAGCCUAACCGCAAGGGGGGCGAUUACCACGGUAGGAUUCAUGACUGGGGUGAAGUCGUAACAAGGUAACCAAGGGCGAAUUCCAG